UUGGGUUAAGUCCCGCAACGAGCGCAACCCUCGUUCUUAGUUGCCAGCAUUUCGGAUGGGCACUCUAGGGAGACUGCCGGUGACAAACCGGAGGAAGGUGGGGAUGACGUCAAGUCAGCAUGCCCCUUACGUCCUGGGCUACACACGUACUACAAUGCUCGAGACAAAGGGCAGCAAGUAUGCGAAUACAAGCAAAUCUCAGAAACUCGGGCUCAGUUCAGAUCGCAGGCUGCAACUCGCCUGCGUGAAGUCGGAAUCGCUAGUAAUUGCAGGUCAGCAUACUGCAGUGAAUUCGUUCCCGGGCCUUGUACACACCGCCCGUCACACCAUGGAAGCUGGUCACGCCCGAAGUCGUUACCCUAACCGUCAAAGGAGGGGGACGCCGAAGGUAGGACUGGUGACUGGGGUGAAGUCGUGACAAGGUAGCCGUACCGGAAGGUGUGGCUGGAUCACCUCCUUU
rnacentral:rRNA from 1 species